rnacentral:miRNA from 1 species
ACUUUAUAAGAGAUGUGACUC